GGGGGGGCUGGGUGCAUGUAAUAUUGUGUAUAUUGUGAACUGUGUGUGAUAGGAAAUAUUCAUUGUUGACAAUGGGGAUUUGGGACAUUUAUUUUGAUGGACUACUUCAUAACUGACUUAUUAUGCCAUUGUGCAUGGGACAGUCUCAGCCGCUUGGACUGGCAGUGUGCGUGUUUGUGUAACAGUUUGCUCCUUUAAACACACUGAGGUACUAAUUUGGAGCUGCAGGUGUGGGCAAUCACUGGCUGCAUCGGUGGUUGGUUGCGCUCGAAAUUGGGACUGCACCGGGAGGAAUAAGAGCUGUGCAGGAGGUUCGGAGAGGUAGAGAGACAACGGGCUGCGAGCUGCUGCGGGAUGCUGACGCCGAUCGCCGUAAUCUAACAGGGAAGUAAGAGGACACUUUCUGUAUCAUGUCAAGAAGCCUUUGGUGUCGCUGACGUUGGUGCCCCGACUUCCAGGUGGGGGCGGCAUUGUGGAGGUGAACGGACUGAUCCAGACGGGUGUUCCUGAACUUCGGAUUCCGUGGACUUUAAUGAGACUGAGCUACAAGAGAAGCUGAACUGUGCUAUGCUGGAGUGCCGCUGCUCGCCUACUUCCGUGUUGACAACAGACACCGUUGCGUGGGUGCGCUGCCUGUGACGGCAUGACGUCAGCACCCGAGCUAAAGAGACGUUGGCGUAACCCUGCGUUCCCACAGACUAUUUACCCAGCAGCCCCUUUCUGCCUGCUGGUGGCCAUUACAGCUGCCCACUUGACCCAUGACAACAUGUUGCUCUGCUUAUAUAGAAGACCACAUGAGAAGACAAGACAAAUAUGUAAUAGUUGCGUAACCCUGCGUUCCCACAGACUAUUUACCCAGCAGCCCCUUCUGCCUGCUGGGGGCCAUUACAGCUGCCCACUUGACCCAUGAAGACGUAACAUGUUGCUCUGCUUACAUGGAGACCACAUGAGGACACAAGACAAAGGUGCAACAGUUGGUGGGUUCUCCACAGGGAUGACCUCCGGUCCAGCAGCCUUGCUCCUCUCCUCCUCCCCGGCUGCGCCUCCUCCUGCUCCCCCUGCCUGCUCCUUCCCCGCCACCUUCCCUCCCUUCUCCUUCAGAGGGGACUUGAGCUCCUUGGCCGAGCGCGUCAUCUUGGUCUCCGCGGCGCUGGCUCCGGACAGGAUCUCCACGGCGAGCUCGAUGAAGACGCGGCCUCGGAACGAUGCCCCCUCCCCCAUGCCCUCGUUCAGCUCGCUGUUGUCUGCCGAGCCGUAGAUGUUGAUCCAGGCUGGACCAAACGUGGGCAGAAACCCUGGGGAGAGAGGGAGGAUGGAACAGAUGAGAACCAGAACAGAGUCAGGAACCAAGUAACCUGGGAACCGUAGCACUGUUUGGGAAACCUACUCAAUAAAACAACGCAAUGAUGAACUAACAAUCACAGGCAGCAUCGCUGAACUUCUGUGAGGGCUCCGGUGAGUCGCCCUUCCCUGUGACGCUGAUGUCACACUUCAGGUAACCUUUGACCCCGGCUCGGAUGUUGCAGGGAUCCAUCAGCACCGUCCAUUUGUUGAUAAACUGGUGACCUUGGAGACAGCGACAGUGGACGUUUCAGAAAUGGAGCGUUGUAGAAGCAACACAACUUCAGAGGGAGGCUCACCUGGUUGGCUGUAGACUGUUCCAACAUCAAGCUUGAAGGAGCCGAUGCAAAA